GAUGAACGCUGGCGGCAUGCCUAAUACAUGCAAGUCGGACGGGCAGAGGUGUUUCUUGCGGCGGUCGGGUGAGCAACGGGCAAGAACGUGCCCCGUGGAGGGGCACCAUAUCUGGAAACGGUAGCUAAGACCACGCAGACCGAGUAGCAAAAGGUGGAGUCCGCCGGAGGGGGGGCUAGCGUAUGAUUAGCUAGUUGGUGAGGCAAUAUCUUACCCAGGCGCUGUUCCGAAGCUGUACCGAGAGGAUGAUCGGCCACACUGGGACCGGGACACGGCCGUGGCUCCUCCGGGGGGCAGCGCUAGGGACUUUCCCGCAAAGGGCGCGAGCCUGACGGAGCACUGCCGCGUGGAAAUAGCUGGCCCACGGGUAGUGAAAUGCUUUACCCGGAGAAGAAGCAAUGACGGUAUCUGGGGCAUAAGCAUCGGCUAACUCUGUG
rnacentral:rRNA from 1 species